rnacentral:rRNA from 1 species
CAAUAGCGUAUAUUUAAGUUGUUGCAGUUAAAAAGCUCGUAGUUGGAUUUCGGGUGGGACGCAGCGGUCUCGCAUUGCGUUUGUACUGCUGCAGCCCUCCUUCUUGCCGGGGGCGGCCUCUCGGACUUCACAGUCUGGGGGUCAGAAUCGGCGAUGUUACUUUGAGUAAAUUAGAGUGUUCAAAGCAAGCUUACGCUCUGAAUAUAAUAGCAUGGGAUAACACGACAGGACUCUGGCCUAUCGUGUUGGUCUAUAGGACCAGAGUAAUGAUUAAGAGGGACAGUCGGGGGCAUUCGUAUUCCGUUGUCAGAGGUGAAAUUCUUGGAUUUACGGAAGACGAACAUCUGCGAAAGCAUUUGCCAAGGAUGUUUNCAUUG